rnacentral:misc_RNA from 1 species
AAAAAAAAAAAAAAAGAAGAAGAUUCUCUAUCAACAUCAGUGUUCUUAAGUUUAUGUUGAAGAUUUCUUAUGCUUACAAGUGAACUUUCGAGUAUCUGUUUUGAUUUUAAUAUUUGAGGAUGGCUUGUGAGAUACAUGGUUUACUUGGAAUCUCUUUUCAGGAGAUUAUAUCCUAGAUUUCAUUUCAAGACUCCUCAUAUAUGGUCAAAAUAUGCAAAAUCAAGGAUCCUAGGUAUUGUUGGUUGCUGUUGAGAAAAACACUAUCUUAAAAUUGUUUAUUAUGGACCUUUAAAUUUUGAUUUUAAU